ensembl:lncRNA
CAGAACGUGGCCUGUGAAGGGUUCACUGUGCAGCCUUAAACAGAUUGAAGUGAUUCAUGGGGGGAAGUAGCACCCAACCCAAGGCCUCGUGGAAGCAGGGGCAUCUCAGAGAUCAUCUCCGGUAACAGGGGCUUGACUUUUGUGAUGAGUGAGAGAAUCCAGCUUGCGCGAUCUUAGUUCCUGGACCAGGGAUGUAACCCAUGACCCCUGCAGUGGAAGCGUGGAGUCCUAACCACCAAGUGACCAGGUGCAGUGGCUUGCCUCAGUGAAGAAAGGCUACCUGGAUGCCCACAACAGAACCCAGUUUUGUACAGUAACCCCCCACUGCAAUGUGAGGCUCCAGAUCCUAUCAGCUUUCCUUGAAGGAGGUGUUACAGGGUGUUCAUUUUCCUGCUGUUUGCUUUCAGCACCCUCAGGCUCAAGGUUUGAAUUCUACGAUCACAAUGUGGAGGGUGUUGGGAGGUAUUUAUUUUUAUCCCCACUGCCAGCGUCAUCACAGUGUGUAUGUGUGUGUGUGUGUGAUCCAAAUUCACACUCCUCACAUGCACAGCACAGAGGCCUGAGCCAGCUGCUUUCCCCAAAGCUGAGAUACGGUUAAGGUUCAUGUUUUGCCUCAUUAAAAAAGUGAUGGCAGAAACGUGUGAGUGAAACCUGCCCUCAUAGUAACUUACCUAACAAGCUUGAAACGUGUAUUCCGAACGUGUGAUUUGUUGUUCAGUGUGAGCCCAGGAUGAAGAGUGUGAGUGUGUAUGUGUGUACAUGGGUUAGCUGUUGCAGACACACACAGCAAAUGCUCUCUAGACCGGCACUCCCUGUCUCCUUACUAACAGAAGCUGGCUUCCCAAGGCGGCAAUGGGUUCAGCUCAAAGAUCGAGUUUCCCCUGGGGUGGGUGUGGCCGUGUGACCAGGUUUCGGCUGACUGGACUUGGGCAGAGGAUUCUGUGGGACUUCCAGGAAGCCUUCUGCAAAGGGAGGGCAGAUACUUUUGCCCUUCCCGUCUCCCUGCUGCCUGGAAAGCUGAUAUGAGGCUGUUGCCCCAGUUAGCCAUGCUGGACACCACAGUGACCUUGAAGACAGAGCUGGGGGUUGAGCUGUGGAGCAGGAAGAGAGAAGGUGCCUUGGUCCCUGAAGACUUGGUUUAGCUGUCACACCAGCUCUGACCUGCCUCCUCUGGUCUUUCCUUAGGAGAGAAAAUUCCUUUGUGUGUUCAGGUCAUUAUUUUUGGUGUCUGUCACAAGCAGUCAAAUGCAAUUGCUAACUGAUAUAUCAACUUGAGGUUUUACAUUAACGAGGUCUGAUUCGACGGGUGAAUGAGCAGAGGACAGGGAACAGUGUCUGGCGCCAAGGGUGUGUGCAAAAAGCGAGCUGUUAAUGCCCCUUUGGGGAAUUAUUACACUUACCAAUCAUCUCUGAGUUUACACUUUAAUGUGGGGAAUACCCAUGUUAAUUCAGCUUUGUGUUAGAAUUAUAAGGGUUCUAGAAAAGUGUCAACUCAGCUUGGUUGUCCUAACUGACAUAUUCAGCCCACACAAUUUGAGUGUGUGUUAGCUUCUUCCUUCAUUCAUUCAGGAAAUGUUUAUUCAGUGCCUGUAAUGGGUGAGGCACAGCUUUAGAUAAUGGUGAAGGUCCAGGGGGUGGUUACUUAAAGGAAAAUGAGAGAAAGACUCUGGCUUCAAACAUACAGACUAAGAAAAUUAAUAAAUAGUAAUAAUAGCUAAUGUUUACUGAGCACUGAUGAUCAGCUGCAGCAUUUUACCUGUAUUGACUCAUUUUAUAUUGAUACCAGCCUUUUGGGGUACACAAGUGCUAUUAUUUUUCUAAUU